rnacentral:rRNA from 1 species
GGAUCCAGACUUUGAUCCUGCCUCAGGACGAACGCUGGCGGCGCGCCUAACACAUGCAAGUCGAACGAGCGAGAGAGAGCUUGCUUUCUCGAGCGAGUGGCGAACGGGUGAGUAACGCGUGAGGAACCUGCCUCAAAGAGGGGGACAACAGUUGGAAACGACUGCUAAUACCGCAUAAGCCCACGGUGCCGCAUGGCACAGAGGGAAAAGGAGCAAUCCGCUUUGAGAUGGCCUCGCGUCCGAUUAGCUAGUUGGUGAGGUAACGGCCCACCAAGGCAACGAUCGGUAGCCGGACUGAGAGGUUGAACGGCCACGUUGGGACUGAGACACGGCCCAGACUCCUACGGGAGGCGGCAGUGGGGAAUAUUGCACAAUGGGGGAAACCCUGAUGCAGCGACGCCGCGUGGAGGAAGAAGGUCUUCGGAUUGUAAACUCCUGUUGUUGGGGAAGAUAAUGACGGUACCCAACAAGGAAGUGACGGCUAACUACGUGCCAGCAGCCGCGGUAAAACGUAGGUCACAAGCGUUGUCCGGAAUUACUGGGUGUAAAGGGAGCGCAGGCGGGAAGACAAGUUGGAAGUGAAAUCUAUGGGCUCAACCCAUAAACUGCUUUCAAAACUGUUUUUCUUGAGUAGUGCAGAGGUAGGCGGAAUUCCCGGUGUAGCGGUGGAAUGCGUAGAUAUCGGGAGGAACACCAGUGGCGAAGGCGGCCUACUGGGCACCAACUGACGCUGAGGCUCGAAAGUGUGGGUAGCAAACAGGAUUAGAUACCCUGGUAGUCCACACCGUAAACGAUGAUUACUAGGUGUUGGAGGAUUGACCCCUUCAGUGCCGCAGUUAACACAAUAAGUAAUCCACCUGGGGAGUACGACCGCAAGGUUGCAACUCAAAUGAAUUGACGG